rnacentral:rRNA from 1 species
CGGCGGACGGGUGAGUAACGCGUAGGCAACCUGCCCUUUGCAGAGGGAUAGCCUCGGGAAACCGGGAUUAAAACCUCAUAAUACCGCAGUGAGACAUCUCACGGCGGUCAAAGAUUUAUCGGCAAAGGAUGGGCCUGCGUCUGAUUAGUUAGUUGGUGGGGUAACGGCCUACCAAGGCGACGAUCAGUAGCCGACCUGAGAGGGUGAUCGGCCACAUUGGAACUGAGACACGGUCCAA